UGAGUAAUACAUAAGUAACCUGCCCUAGACAGGGGGAUAACUAUUGGAAACGAUAGCUAAGACCGCAUAGGUACGGACACUGCAUGGUGACCGUAUUAAAAGUGCCUCAAAGCACUGGUAGAGGAUGGACUUAUGGCGCAUUAGCUGGUUGGCGGGGUAACGGCCCACCAAGGCGACGAUGCGUAGCCGACCUGAGAGGGUGACCGGCCACACUGGGACUGAGACACGGCCCAGACUCCUACGGAGGCAGCAUG
rnacentral:rRNA from 1 species